AACGAAACAUGUGGAAUGGAAAACUGUCAUACAUUUUUGCUGUCAUCUAAUGGAAAUACAAUUAUGAUGUUAUCUGUGGAGCAUUUGCGACAAUAUUGUCGUACCUGCCUAGCCAAGCUGGAGGCGAAUAAUGAAGAUAAUUCUACAACAUUUAUUCCCACAAAUAAGUACCCAGAACUGGAGAAUUUAAUACAAGUCUGUCUUGCAAGGACUACCGCAGGUGACGAUAGUUUGUGUUAUUAUGCACCAUUUUUGUGUCGCUCUUGUUUCGAUAAAUGGUUAGAUUUUUCAAAACUUCACCAAUUGGCUAUUGAAACUGACGAAAAAAUAAGGAAGAUUUUAGAAAGAGAAGUUCUUAAAAGCGAUAACAAAGACGACGAGGCAAUGGUAAUAAAUAAUAAACAAAAUGAACAUAUUAAGGAAUUUCUAACGGAUAACGAAUCCUUAGUUGAUAUAAAUGAGAUAGAAAAAUAUGAAACAAAUUCCCCAUUUGUACUCAAUAGUCAUUCAGAUUCUCCAAUCAAUAACUGUUCCCGAUCGGAUGAAGAAUUUACCUUUGGAAAACUUAAUAUAACAUCCAAAGGUUAUGAAGUUCACUGCUCCUCCUCCGAUAACGCAGAUGAUACUGAUUUUAUACCUAUCGCACCACUGCACGACGAAGGCUUAAAAAGCAAAAAUUCUCAAAUCAAUAAGAAGAAUAGGAAAUUUUGUAAAUUAAAGAAAACGUACAAAAGAAGACAAACAUUUGUAGAAUAUAAUAAAAAUUCGGAAAUGGAUAGUGGACAAAAAAAAGUGCGGUAUGAAUGUAAAACAUGCAGCAAAUAUUUCUGGGAAAAGAACAAGUACGAUGGACAUAUGAAACAAGUACACGAGGGCAUCAAACGUCCGUAUCAAUGUCUGCAAUGUGAUAAGGCUUAUAAUCUAUACAAAACACUUUUACAGCAUAAACGAGAGUGUCAUAGCGAAAAGUCGCAAGAAGUAUUCAAAUGUGAAAAAUGUGAUAAAACAUUUAAAACAGCUGUAAUUCUUAAACAACACUUGGCAAACAAGCAUUCCGAACAAAAAGAGACCACGCGAUCGAUUUGCGAUCAGUGUGGUUUUAUUGCAGCUCAUCAAUAUUCGCUCUCGCGGCAUAUUAUUAAUAAGCAUACGGAAACAGACCAAAUAAAAUGCGACUAUUGUCCCAAAGUUUUUAAAACGCGGUACUCGCUUAAAUAUCACGUGAUAGGCAAUCACAACCCUUCGAAUUCAAAGCCCUUCAAGUGUUCCGAGUGCCAAAUGGCAUUUACACGUAAAACACUGUUGAACCAACAUAAACGAACUCAUAUCAAAUACACAGAACGCAUUAAAUGCGACUUUGAGGGCUGUGAGGUGCGUUUCGUUAAACUUGGCGAUAAAACUCACCAUAUGCGGUUGGUACAUUUAAAAGUUAAACAACAUGUUUGUGAUUUUUGUGGCGAGGCAUUUGGUGCCUUGCAAACACUGCGUCAUCACCGAUUUAUACACACCGGUGAGAAACCUUAUAAAUGUAAUGUUUGUGGUCAAGGUUUCCGGCAACGUACCGCUAUGAAAACUCACAGAAAGAUACAUUUUGGAAAAGGCACAGAAGGUCAUGAUAUUAUUAAUAAUUUACCAGAAAUUAACUUAAGCUUAGUAAAUACAGUAAAUGAGUAACCUCCCUCAAAGUAUUCGCUGUUAUGUAAUAUGAUAUUACCCAAAAUAUUUUGGGUUUAGUGUUGUCCAUUCGUGAGCUAAACCGCUUACAAAAAAGUCCCAUUUUUGUUAUUUUGUUUUAAUUUUACAGUAUUUCUUAAGGUAUUUUCAGACUACAAUAUUGAAUAUUAUUACUUGUCAAAAAAUCAUGUAGUAUACAAUUUCGUAGUCUAAAUACAAUUUGAUUGAUUAUGACAAAAAAUACUUCUGAUUUAUACCGACCGUAUUUUUAAGUUUUUGAAAAAUGUUAAAAAUUUCUUAUUUUUCAUAUGUAUCAAAGUUGUAUUUAAAAUAAAGAAACUUUAGAAACAAUUUCCUUGCGAUAAAAAAAAACAGGAAAAUAAAAUAAAUUGAAAAUAAACGAAAAAAAAACCAGGAACAUCAUUGAAUUUUAAAGCUCACGAAAGGUCAUCACUAGACUUAAAAUAUUUUGGGAAUCAUCAUAAAACAAAGCAAGGAAAAUUUUUAGAGAUUUACCAAAAGCACGUUUAUGUUUUCUGUACAGAGUGAUAUAUAUAAUAAUAUAUAAUAAUAUAUAAUAAUAUAUAAUAAUAUAUAAUAAUAUAUAAUAAUA
rnacentral:misc_RNA from 1 species